rnacentral:misc_RNA from 1 species
UUUCCGUAGGUGAACCUGCGGAAGGAUCAUUAAUGAGUUGUCAUGGGGUUCGAUGCUGGCAGCCAAUUUUUGGAUGCAUGUGCUUGCCCUAACAAUCAUCUUCCAAACACCUGUGCACAUUUUUGAGGGAGUCUUGAGUUGGUUGCCGCUCUUGGGUGAUUUUCUCACAUUCCCUUAAAUCAUUAUACGCUAUUAACAAUGUUGAACGUGCUCUGUGCCGCAAGGCUAUUAAUAUAAUACAACUUUUAACAACGGAUCUCUUGGCUCUCGCAUCGAUGAAAACGCGC